CAUAGGUUAAUGAGGCGAACCGGGGGAACUGAAACAUCUAAGUACCCCGAGGAAAAGAAAUCAACCGAGAUUCCCCCAGUAGCGGCGAGCGAACGGGGAGGAGCCCAGAGCCUGAAUCAGUGUGUGUGUUAGUGGAAGCGUCUGGAAAGGCGCGCGAUACAGGGUGACAGCCCCGUACACAAAAAUGCACAUGCUGUGAGCUCGAUGAGUAGGGCGGGACACGUGGUAUCCUGUCUGAAUAUGGGGGGACCAUCCUCCAAGGCUAAAUACUCCUGACUGACCGAUAGUGAACCAGUACCGUGAGGGAAAGGCGAAAAGAACCCCGGCGAGGGGAGUGAAAAAGAACCUGAAACCGUGUACGUACAAGCAGUGGGAGCCUCUUAAUGGGGUGACUGCGUACCUUUUGUAUAAUGGGUCAGCGACUUAUAUUCUGUAGCAAGGUUAACCGAAUAGGGGAGCCGAAGGGAAACCGAGUCUUAACUGGGCGUUAAGUUGCAGGGUAUAGACCCGAAACCCGGUGAUCUAGCCAUGGGCAGGUUGAAGGUUGGGUAACACUAACUGGAGGACCGAACCGACUAAUGUUGAAAAAUUAGCGGAUGACUUGUGGCUGGGGGUGAAAGGCCAAUCAAACCGGGAGAUAGCUGGUUCUCCCCGAAAGCUAUUUAGGUAGCGCCUCGUGAAUUCAUCUCCGGGGGUAGAGCACUGUUUCGGCAAGGGGGUCAUCCCGACUUACCAACCCGAUGCAAACUGCGAAUACCGGAGAAUGUUAUCACGGGAGACACACGGCGGGUGCUAACGUCCGUCGUGAAGAGGGAAACAACCCAGACCGCCAGCUAAGGUCCCAAAGUCAUGGUUAAGUGGGAAACGAUGUGGGAAGGCCCAGACAGCCAGGAUGUUGGCUUAGAAGCAGCCAUCAUUUAAAGAAAGCGUAAUAGCUCACUGGUCGAGUCGGCCUGCGCGGAAGAUGUAACGGGGCUAAACCAUGCACCGAAGCUGCGGCAGCGACACUAUGUGUUGUUGGGUAGGGGAGCGUUCUGUAAGCCUGUGAAGGUGGCCUGUGAGGGUUGCUGGAGGUAUCAGAAGUGCGAAUGCUGACAUAAGUAACGAUAAAGCGGGUGAAAAGCCCGCUCGCCGGAAGACCAAGGGUUCCUGUCCAACGUUAAUCGGGGCAGGGUGAGUCGACCCCUAAGGCGAGGCCGAAAGGCGUAGUCGAUGGGAAACAGGUUAAUAUUCCUGUACUUGGUGUUACUGCGAAGGGGGGACGGAGAAGGCUAUGUUGGCCGGGCGACGGUUGUCCCGGUUUAAGCGUGUAGGCUGGUUUUCCAGGCAAAUCCGGAAAACCAAGGCUGAGGCGUGAUGACGAGGCACUACGGUGCUGAAGUGACAAAUGCCCUGCUUCCAGGAAAAGCCUCUAAGCAUCAGGUAACAUCAAAUCGUACCCCAAACCGACACAGGUGGUCAGGUAGAGAAUACCAAGGCGCUUGAGAGAACUCGGGUGAAGGAACUAGGCAAAAUGGUGCCGUAACUUCGGGAGAAGGCACGCUGAUAUGUAGGUGAAGCGACUUGCUCGUGGAGCUGAAAUCAGUCGAAGAUACCAGCUGGCUGCAACUGUUUAUUAAAAACACAGCACUGUGCAAACACGAAAGUGGACGUAUACGGUGUGACGCCUGCCCGGUGCCGGAAGGUUAAUUGAUGGGGUUAGCGGUAACGCGAAGCUCUUGAUCGAAGCCCCGGUAAACGGCGGCCGUAACUAUAACGGUCCUAAGGUAGCGAAAUUCCUUGUCGGGUAAGUUCCGACCUGCACGAAUGGCGUAAUGAUGGCCAGGCUGUCUCCACCCGAGACUCAGUGAAAUUGAACUCGCUGUGAAGAUGCAGUGUACCCGCGGCAAGACGGAAAGACCCCGUGAACCUUUACUAUAGCUUGACACUGAACAUUGAGCCUUGAUGUGUAGGAUAGGUGGGAGGCUUUGAAGUGUGGACGCCAGUCUGCAUGGAGCCGACCUUGAAAUACCACCCUUUAAUGUUUGAUGUUCUAACGUUGGCCCCUAAUCGGGGUUGCGGACAGUGUCUGGUGGGUAGUUUGACUGGGGCGGUCUCCUCCUAAAGAGUAACGGAGGAGCACGAAGGUUGGCUAAUCCUGGUCGGACAUCAGGAGGUUAGUGCAAUGGCAUAAGC
rnacentral:rRNA from 1 species